CAGUUCAGUCUGGUCUUCAGCACCAACUGUUGUGACCCACUAGAAGCUCUUUGGAACAGGAGGCAGUGAUGGCCACCAACCUGUAUGGCUUUAAAAGAGGAUUAGACAAAUUCAUGGAGGAAAAGGCCAUCAGUGGCUACUAGCCAGGAUGGCUAUGCUCUGCCUCUAUAGUCAGAGGCAGGAUGCUUUCAAAUACCAGUUGCUGGAAACUAGGGAUGAAAGAACAAGGCCUGGAGACGACGCCCAAUGACCCUCUAGCAGAGAUGGGACUCGUAACCAGGCCCAAGUCCCAAUCGCUUUCUGCUGGGUUGUUGCAGCUUUUUGGAGGAAGCAGCACAUUCUUUAUUCAUCUUUCCACUCCUAAGGAACAACUUGCCCUUUCAAGCCAGGGAUUGCUUUAAGGGCUUGUGUAUAAAACUAUCAAUUGAUCUGUGGAGUCCAUUAUCUUGCGGAGCUGCUCUUCACAACGUUGCCAGUAUGCAUCUGAGCAUUCAAUGCCUCUUAUUGUAUUUUAUCAUUUGCUGAUGUUCUACAAAAGAUUCUUUAAAAGGCUGCCAAACAGAAGUCUAUAAGCCACUGUGGACAAUCAGCCCGGUUUUUGUUUUACUGUAACAAAAAGCAGUCCUGAUAGCACAUCUUGACAUAUUUUUUUGGCCAACCAAACCAAACCAAUUACCCUGGCCACAUAUGCCACCUAGCGGGGAGAGUGGAGAACACCACAUUUCAGGUCCUAGUGAGAGAUAGUCACCAAGGUACUCAGCCUUAUUACCAUUCUUUAAGCAGAUCCUGUUAGUGCCUUGACUCCUAGUCAUGAUGGCUAUACAUUACCCCCAGCAUCUGAGGCAGCAUCUGAGGUCCCUGAAUGCCAGUUGCUGGGGAGAGAGCUGCUGCACUCAGGUUCUGCUUGCAGGCUUCCUGUUGGUGCACCUGGUUGGCUACUGUGAGAACAGGAUAUUGGACUAGAUGGGCCCCCCUUUGGCCUGAUCCAGCAGCCAGGCUCUUCUUACAUUCUUAACACUUCUCUGCAUCGGACUGUGCAAAGCAAGCAAGGACUUCUGCAAACAAGACAGGGGAGUGGCAUCCCCUACUUGUCCUCCUCAAUAAUUUCUUCAGCUUUGUAUUUGGAUGACUUUAAAAGAUGGUCAAAAGAGGAUUCAAUGGCUAUGUUCUACCUCCAGUGUUGGAGGCUGGAAAAAAUGGAAAUGGACUGCCUUCAAGUCCAUUCCGACUUAUGGCAACCCUAAUUUCCCUGCUCUUCUCCUCUUGGCUCCUUGUUCUACGCUUGCAUGGCCCAGUUCCAAGUCCGAUACAUGUCAAGUUUGCCCUUUUGCUUUUGGGUUCUUUGACAGCUUCCUGGAUGCCCAGCACUCUUCCCUCUCCUGAUACAGGACCAGUAACUUCUCUCUCAAGUAUUCUUAAGAGUAAUUUUGCUCUUCCUUCGCCUCCACAAGACUGCAGCCCUUUAACCUGGGAAUAAGUGCCAUUGAAUUCAGUGGGGUUUACCUUUGAGCAAGCACGGUUAGGAUUGGGCAGCAAUCCAACAUGCACUUACAUGGGAGUAAGUCCUAUUGAACCCAAAGGAGCUUACUUCUGAGUAGGCAUGUAUUGGCUUGCAGCCUAAGUUAUCAGUCCAGAGUGCCCCUUAUUUACUUAGAGGACCGUGGCUUGCAGGGUAGAGCACCUGGUUUGUACGCAAAAAGUCCCGGGUUCAGCCCUCAGCACCUCCAGGUAAGGCUGUGAGAUAUGCCUGCCUGAAGCCUCACCUAGCAGUCUCGAGCACAGAUAUUAGACAGGAGCCACCUCUGGUGUCUUUUUGGCACCUGCUGAAGACCUUCCUCCUUCAAUAAGCCUGCUAAGUGGAGACCUUACCCCUCUCUGCAUGUGUUGGAAUUGCUUGUUAAAGAUGUUUUUAAAGCUUUUUUUUAAAAAAACAUGUUUUGUUGUAAUGUGUUUUUAAGAAUGUUUUGUUGUAAUGUGUUUUUAAGAAUGUUUUGUUGUAAUUUAUUUUAAAGUCUGUUUUUAUUAUCUUUUAGACUAUUUUUAGUGCUUUUGUUUG